UUUCAGGAAAGUCCCGUGAUACCUCUGUGGGAAAUGCACUUCACAAGAGUUCAUCCAUGAAGAGGAGAACAUGUCUCCAAAUGGUCUAAUUGUGUUCAUAAAGAACCACAUACAGGAUUGGAACAACAUGAGGGGUUGACUGCAGUGGCCUUCAGAAUGGGCACAGCAAUUUUGGAAGGGAUUUACAGUGAACUGCAGGUGUCGUGGCCCUGUGGGCUGUAUGGUACUAUUGUGAGAGGAACAAUGGCACAGAAAGCUUGGGAACUGCUGCUUUGCUUUGUUCUCGGCUAUUGUCUGUUCCCAGGAUGUCCUUCAGGAUAAUGACAAAAAAGGUCAAGCAACUGACACACUACAUUACCUUCAAUAGACGAUGAAAUGAUUGGCAGGCAAAGACAAAGGAAAAGCUUGAUUCUUUAAUGUUGUACAAUCAAGAUUUAUGAAUGUAGGUUUCAAGUUUUAUUUCUGAGAUAAUGAUUCACAGACUUUUUCACUGCUAUGUUGUUGUCAGCUGUUAAAAUCAAGAACCCAGUCUGUUAGAAUAAAACACUGCACGUCCUCACUGAUGUGGAAGAUGUGACUGAACCAGCCAAUUAUUAUUUAAGCUACAUUAGGGUGCUAAAAUGUUAUUUCUAUGCUUUUCAGGGGCAGUCAGACAUUGCAAACACGUACCAAAGCUGUACAGCAAACUUGGCAUAGGUCAGAUGAUGUUGUGUAAUUCCUUGCACAUGCAUGGUGGAAUAUAUAUUAUUAGAAAAUUUACCUAGCUGUAUAUAGAUGUAUAUACUAUUACUUUAAAUUUUUUAUUUUGUAUUAAUUUUUUUUAAAUAAAUAAAUACUUUUAUUCAGCUUGGAUGCAUUCAAUUGGUCAAAAGUGAUGGUAAAAUAUUUAUACAUUUGAAAUUUAUAUUUUGAAUAAAUAUUCUUUUUAAGGUUCUGUUUAAAGCAGC